AUGCUUCACCCCUUGCCAUGUUUAAUAACAUUUAAUAUUGUUGGGUACAAAACCGAGAGGGAACUAAAUAAUCGAUGUGGUGUUUCGUCAAUAUGCAACUCGUUGCAUAUUGAGCUCCACUUAACUUGUAGUAUUGUUUGUUGCACUUUGCCAUGCCAUGCCUCAUUAAACCGGACAUGCAUCAUACUUGUUUGUGCAUCAUGCCAUGUUUAUACUUGUGCAUUUACCAUGUUGUUUUGUUUCUUUCCGGUGUUGCUUCUUAGUCCGGUAAUGUUGCGAUUCGUGAGGAUUCGUUCGUCUAUGCUUGGUUCGUCUUCGUGGCUUCAUAUUCUUCAUGGACUCGUUCUUCUUCCUUGCGGGAUUUCAGGCAAGAUGACCGCUACCCUGGAUCUCACUACUAUCAUUGCUAUGCUAGUUGCUUCGUUCUAUCGCUAUGCUGCGCUACCUAUCACCUGUUUAUCAAGCCAUCCCAAAUUGCCAUGA
rnacentral:rRNA from 1 species